rnacentral:miRNA from 1 species
UGCUUAGUGUAAGUAUGUCCCAUGAAAUGUUUGGAUAUAUUUAUGCUAAAC